AACCAGCACCUCAAGUGGUCAGGAGGAUUAUUGGGCCUAAAGCAUCCGUAGCCUGCUCUAUAAGUUUUCGGUUAAAUCUAUACGCUUAACGCAUAGGCUGCUGGGAAUACUGUAGAGCUAGGGAGUGGGAGAGGUAGACGGUACUCGGUAGGAAGGGGUAAAAUCCUUUGAUCUAUUGAUGACCACCUGUGGCGAAGGCGGUCUACCAGAACACGUUCGACGGUGAGGGAUGAAAGCUGGAGGAGCAAACCGG
rnacentral:rRNA from 1 species